rnacentral:misc_RNA from 1 species
UGCACAGAAGGAAGGUCCUGGUUAGGAGUAACUGUAUCUUCAACACUAUUGACAACAUCAAGGUUUCCAUUUUGAUGCUUGGCAUCAUCAAUGUAUCGAAAGACAUCAUUCAAAACAAAAUAGCCUUUGUCUUGAGGUGCCAGGAAGAAACUCUGAGUAAAUUUCUGUCGAAAAUUAUCAUUUCUGGUCAAAUAUCCUGUCACAAGGACUAGGACUCCUCCAUUGUAUGAUUCUUGUGAAUCAACUGUGGUAAUUUCAGCUCUGAAUUCUCCAUAACCAAUCGAGAGUAUCUUCUCAUUUAUAGCAUGCAUGGUGGUUGUGGUACUCAUGAUCCCACCCUCCCCUGGACGACCAAGCCUACUAACAUCCUGGUAGAAUCGGUGAACAAGCUCG